AUUCCAGCUCCAAUAGCGUAUAUUAAAGUUGUUGCAGUUAAAAAGCUCGUAGUUGAAUUUCUGUACAGUCCCGGUUCUGGCUUCGGUCAAGCCGUGGAUUGUGCAUCCGCUUGCAAAUCUAGCUCGGCCUUCACUGGUCGACUAGGGGAGUAAGCCCUUUACUUUGAAAAAAUUAGAGUGUUUCAGGCAGGCAAUGGCUCGAAUACAUUAGCAUGGAAUAAUGGAUUAGGACUUUUGUCCAUUUGGUUGGUUAUUGGACAUGAGUAUGAUUAAAAGGGACAGUUGGGGGCAUUAGUAUUUAAUAGUCAGAGGUGAAAUUCUUGGAUUUAUUAAAGACUAACUUAUGCGAAAGCAUUUGCCAAGGAUGUUUUCAUCG
rnacentral:rRNA from 1 species